AUCCUGGCUCAGGAUUAACGCUGGCGGCAUGCCUAAUACAUGCAAGUCGAAUGAGAAGCUUGCUUCUCAUGGCGAACGGGUGAGUAACACGUAGGUAACCUGCCUUACACUCGAGGAUAACCGUUGGAAACGACGGAUAAUACUGGAUAGGACAGAGAUUCGCAUGAAGCUCUGUUUAAAAGCAAUGGUGUAUGAGGGGCCUGCGGUGCAUUAGAUAGUUGGUGAGGUAAUGGCCCACCAAGUCGACGAUCGGUAGCCGACCUGAGAGGGUGAUCGGCCACAUUGGGACUGAGACACGGCCCAAACUCCUACGGGAGGCAGCAGGUGGGGAAUAUUGGGCAAUGGGGGGAACCCUUGACCCAGCAACGCCGCGUGAGGGAAGAAGGUUUUCGGAUCGUAAACCUCUGUCCUUGGUGAAGAGUAAGAGACGGUAGCCAAGGAGGAAGCCCCGGCUAACUACGUGCCAGCAGCAGC
rnacentral:rRNA from 1 species